GACGAACGCUGGCGGCGUGCCUAAUACAUGCAAGUCGAGCGAGCUUGCCUAGAUGAAUUUGGUGCUUGCACCAAAUGAAACUAGAUACAAGCGAGCGGCGGACGGGUGAGUAACACGUGGGUAACCUGCCCAAGAGACUGGGAUAACACCUGGAAACAGAUGCUAAUACCGGAUAACAACACUAGACGCAUGUCUAGAGUUUAAAAGAUGGUUCUGCUAUCACUCUUGGAUGGACCUGCGGUGCAUUAGCUAGUUGGUAAGGUAACGGCUUACCAAGGCAAUGAUGCAUAGCCGAGUUGAGAGACUGAUCGGCCACAUUGGGACUGAGACAUGGCCCAAACUCCUACGGGAGGCAGCAGUAGGGAAUCUUCCACAAUGGACGCAAGUCUGAUGGAGCAACGCCGCGUGAGUGAAGAAGGGUUUCGGCUCGUAAAGCUCUGUUGGUAGUGAAGAAAGAUAGAGGUAGUAACUGGCCUUUAUUUGACGGUAAUUACUUAGAAAGUCACGGCUAACUACGUGCCAGCAGCCGCGGUAAUACGUAGGUGGCAAGCGUUGUCCGGAUUUAUUGGGCGUAAAGCGAGUGCAGGCGGUUCAAUAAGUCUGAUGUGAAAGCCUUCGGCUCAACCGGAGAAUUGCAUCAGAAACUGUUGAACUUGAGUGCAGAAGAGGAGAGUGGAACUCCAUGUGUAGCGGUGGAAUGCGUAGAUAUAUGGAAGAACACCAGUGGCGAAGGCGGCUCUCUGGUCUGCAACUGACGCUGAGGCUCGAAAGCAUGGGUAGCGAACAGG
rnacentral:rRNA from 1 species